CCACCGGGGGCCGAACCGGCUCCAGCGUGCGGUACGGGGAGUGCCGCCUGCACACGGGAAGCACGGCACGGAAACGAGUUAAGAAAUAAAAAAAAAGGUAAAAAAAUAUUACCAACUGAAGUUACAUGGUGGAACACCAAAUAAAUCUAGUGAGAUCUUGGUUAAGCUUUUUUUUUACUGGAUACCUUGCAGAAGCUUUUUAUGCAUGAAUUAGGAAGCACUUGCACUACAGAAAAAAAUGUCUUCUACCAAAGCUGUAACUUUGUCAGUACUGGAGCUGGAACUGGAAGUUUUGCUGAGGAAGAACCUGCAGAAACUACUUAAAGAGCAGA